AAAUUUCACUUAAAACGCAUCUACAAUAUUUCCUCUUUACAAAAGAAAAAAUUCGAAGGUUUUUGCAAGUCUUUUCAAUAAAGACCGACCAAUGAAAUGAUUAGCAUUUCAAGUAAAUCCUUUUGAUAACUUUAACAUCAAAACAUUUGUCGAUACAGCUGAAAGAGAUGAGUAACAUCGAUGGAACGAAACUGAAAAUGAAAUUAAAACAGGCAAGGAACUAUAAAAGUGAAAGAGAUGGAACUAGUCGCUCCAUGUAGGAAUCAUUGGUACUAGUUUGGUCCGGAACGACACAAGAAGGUGAAGGUAACCCUAUCAAGUGCACAAUUAUGGCCUACAGCUUGUCACCAUAUUAAUGUAUUGUGAUAACAACUUUCCGUCUUCAUCCAACAAUCAUAGACAGAUUAAUUGUGUUGUCCCUGGUUGCAUGCGGGGCACACAUCCUGCAUGUUGGCGUUUUCCCUUGCCAAAACGAGUUAAGGUGGCUAAAUCGUAUGAAUGCUGUGGUGGUUUGCCUGAUACGCCAUUUUAUUUAAAGGCCUACUUUUAUGGAACUAGAACUUGAAGAUCUAAUCGACAUUUCCGGACGGCGGCCGCUUUUCUUGGUGGUUGGGACGGCUGCUGGACAUAGUACUGCCGGAAAGCGACUUAUGGAUUUAUUCUUACUUCUGUGGAGUAAAUGCUGCCAAAUGUGGCGCCAUGUAUCUUUGAAUAAUUGCCCACUAACAUUCCAUUAAGAAACAGGUAGAAGACUUCUUGCACAUCAUUGAGUGCCGCCCGAUUCUACUUUAAGCUCAAUGAUAAAGGAUCUCCUUUAAGUAUCCGACUCUGAACGGAGUGCCAAUGAAAUUGAAAAACUUAAGAAAAUCUUCUAUGGUGUGUACAUAACGUAUUUAAACCGGGAGAACCUAACAAAUUUUGUACUUGUUUUUGAUGAAAAAACGCCUGGGAGGCAUGGGAGGCACACGACUCGCUCACGCAGCACCCCACCACGCCACGAACAACGUUACACGCAUUACACAGAAGACCUACCAACAACAUCAAACCGAUCAUCCGAACAUUACAAUUGCAACACGACUGACACAAUCCUAGCAACACGCCAACCAACAACAAUUCAACAAGCAGACACUAUAUACGUAGACCCACACUAACCAACAAAAACAACUCGACCAGACACAAUAUAGCUAGACCCACACCACCCACGCUACCCAAACAACCAAUACCCACCAACAAAAACAUCACGACCCGUAGAAGACCCAUCACGCCACACUCAAACUCAACAAACAGCACCACAAAGAUCUACUCCACCCAAUUGGAUUUUUGGAAUGAUUUUUAUGUUACUUUUUUUAUUAUUAAUUAAAAAAAACUACUAAAAAAUGCAAUUUAAUAUGGCUUCUGAAUUUUUAUAUUGUUGAUGUGUAUCCACAGAUUGA